GUGAUGAGAGACGGCUGAGGAGCGGUGACGUGUCCUAAACCAGGCUGA
rnacentral:snoRNA from 1 species